rnacentral:rRNA from 1 species
AGGGCACCACCAGGAGUGGAGCCUGCGGCUUAAUUUGACUCAACACGGGGAAACUCACCCGGCCCGGACACUGGAAGGAUUGACAGAUUGAGAGCUCUUUCUUGAUUCAGUGGGUGGUGGUGCAUGGCCGUUCUUAGUUGGUGGAGUGAUUUGUCUGGUUAAUUCCGAUAACGAACGAGACUCUAGCCUACUAAAUAGACCUCGGCAUUCUUUGUACUGUCGAGGCGCUUCUUAGAGGGACAGGCGGUGAUUCAACCGCACGAAACAGAGCAAUAACAGGUCUGUGAUGCCCUUAGAUGUCCGGGGCCGCACGCGCGCUACACUGAAGUGAUCAGCGUGCUUUUUCAACCUACUCUGUCAAGAGUGGGGAACCCAAUGAACCUUCUUCGUGAUUGGGAUAGGGGAUUGUAAUUGUUCCCCUUGAACGAGGAAUUCCCAGUAAGCGCGAGUCAUAAGCUCGCGUUGAUUACGUCCCUGCCCUUUGUACACACCGCCCGUCGCUACUACCGAUUGAAUGUU